rnacentral:rRNA from 1 species
GACGAACGCUGGCGGCGUGCUUUACACAUGCAAGUCGAACGGUGAAGGUGGAGCUUGCUCCGCCGGAUCAGUGGCGAACGGGUGAGUAACACGUGGGCAACCUGCCCCUAACUUUGGGAUAACUACUCGAAAGAGUAGCUAAUACCGGAUAUGAAGUCUGUAGGCAUCUACGGACUUGGAAAGUUUUUCGGUUAGGGAUGGGCCCGCGGCCUAUCAGCUUGUUGGUGAGGUAGUGGCUCACCAAGGCGACGACGGGUAGCCGGCCUGAGAGGGCGACCGGCCACACUGGGACUGAGACACGGCCCAGACUCCUACGGGAGGCAGCAGUGGGGAAUAUUGCGCAAUGGGCGAAAGCCUGACGCAGCAACGCCGCGUGCGGGAUGAAGGCCUUCGGGUUGUAAACCUCUUUUAGUAGGGAAGAAGCGAAAGUGACGGUACCUGCAGAAAAAGCACCGGCUAACUACGUGCCAGCAGCCGCGGUAA